UACAGAGGGUGCAAGCGUUAAUCGGAGUUACUGGGCGUAAAGGGCGCGUAGGCGGUAUUAUGCGUGUGAUGGUGAAAGCCCUGGGCUUAACCUAGGAAGUGCAUCGCAAACGGUGAUACUGGAGUAGAUGAGAGGGUGGUGGGAAUUUCCGGUGUAGCGGUGAAAUGCGUAGAGAAUCGGAAGGAACGUCGAUGGCGAAGGCAGCCACCUGGCAUCAUACUGGACGCUGAGGCGCGAGAGCGUGGGGGAGCAAACAGGG
rnacentral:rRNA from 1 species